UAAAUCCAUUGGAUUUUGACAUAUUUUGACCAUAGAAACACUAACAAAGCUGUUUACUGCUUCUAAGCAAGUUUUUGUUGGUUUUAGCCUCAUUUGGGAGAAAUGGGUGUAAGUGUUGUCUAAACACUCCUAAUCCAUCUCAAAGUCAUAUAAUUAGUCCAAUGCAUUGGAUUGUAAUAUAUUUUGACCUUUGAAACACUUACAAAGUUAUUUACUGCUUCCAAACAAUUUUUGUUGGUUUUAGCCUCUUUUGGGACAAAUUGGAUAUAAGUGUUGUCUAAACACUCCUAAUCCAUCUCUAACUCUUAUAAUUAGUCAAAUGCAUUGGAUUGUGAUACAUUUUGACUAUUGAAUAACUAACAAAGCUAUUUCUGCUUCUAAGGAAUUUGUUUGUUGGUUUUAGCCUCUUUUGGGUGAAAAUGGGUGUAAGUGUUGUUUGAACACUCCUAAUCAUCCUCUAACUCUUAUAAUUAGUCAAAUGCAUUGGAUUGUGACACAUUUUGACCAUAGAAACACUAACAAAACUAUUUACUGUUUCUAACCAAUUUUUUGUUGGUUUUAGCCUCUGUUGGGACAAAAUGGGUGUAAGUGUUGUCUAAACACUGCUACUCCAUCUCUAACUCAUAUAAUUAGUCAAAUGCAUUGGAUUGUGACACAUUUUGACCAUAGAAACACAGAGCUAUUUAUUGCUUCUAAGCAAUUUUUUGUUGGUUUUAGUCUCUUUCGGGAGAAAAUGGGUAUAAGUGUUGUCUAAACACUCCUAAUCCGUUUUUAUCUCUUCUAAUUAGUCAAAUGCAUUGGAUUCUGACACAUUUUAACCAUAGAAAUACUAACAAGGCUAUUGACUGCUUCUCAGCAAU
rnacentral:sRNA from 1 species